CAGUAGCCGCGGUAAUACGAGGGGUGCAAGCGUUAUUCGGAUUGAUUGGGUGUAAAGGGUGUGCAGACGGCUUAUUAAGUCACUUGUUAAAUUCUUCGGCCUAACUGAAGGUCUGCAAGUGAUACUGAUGAGCUAGAGGGUGGAAGAGAGAAGUGGAAUUCUCGGAGUAGCGGUAAAAUGCGUAGGUCUCGAGAGGAACACCAAUGGCGAAGGCAGCUUCUUGGUCCAUUCCUGACGUUCAUACACGAAAGCGUGGGGAGCGAACGGGAUUAGAUACCCCAGUAGUCCCUGUCUCUUAUAA
rnacentral:rRNA from 1 species